rnacentral:rRNA from 1 species
GCUCAGAAACUACAAAGGAAUUGACGGGGCCCGCACAAGCGGUGGAGUAUGUGGUUUAAUUCGAUGCAACGCGAAGAACCUUACCUGGUCUUGACAUCCCGGAGACCCUUAGGAAACUAGGGGGUGCUUCCAUCUGGAAGAAUCUGGAGACAGGUGCUGCAUGGCUGUCGUCAGCUCGUGUCGUGAGAUGUUGGGUUAAGUCCCGCAACGAGCGCAACCCUUGCCUUUAGUUGCCAGCAGUUCGGCUGGGCACUCUAAAGGGACUGCCGGUGUUAAACCGGAGGAAGGUGGGGAUGACGUCAAGUCCUCAUGGCCUUUAUGACCAGGGCUACACACGUACUACAAUGGCCGAUACAAAGGGCAGCGACACUGCGAGGUGAAGCCAAUCCCGUAAAAUCGGUCUCAGUCCGGAUUGGAGUCUGCAACUCGACUCCAUGAAGUUGGAAUCGCUAGUAAUCGUGGAUCAGCAUGCCACGGUGAAUACGUUCCCGGGCCUU